CGCUUGUAGCUGGUGCGCAGGCGGGGCUGUGUGCAGGGCCAGCGCGUAGCCCGAGCAAUAGCGGUGAAGCGCCUGGGCUGGGCGGAGACUGCCAUGCCGGUUGCUCGCCUCGGUCGCCGCCUCUUUAGCCACCGCCGCCUCUGCCGGGGGAGCGGCCGCCUAUUGUUUUUCUGCGCGGCGAAGCUUCCUUCUUCGGUGAGAACCACCUGGAGGUGCCUGUGGCCACGGCUCUGACCAACAUAGACCUACAGCUGCAGUUCUGCACCUCCCAACCUGAAGCCCUCCUUCUCCUGGCAGCAGGCCCAGCUGACCACCUCCUGCUGCAGCUCUACUCUGGAUGCCUGCAGAGCUCCCGUAUCCAGGCAUCAGCUCCAACUCCCACUCCUGGAGGCGGAGGUGGGAGGAUCACUUGAGCCCAGGAGUUCAAGACCAGCCUUGGCAACAUAGUGAGAACUUGUCUCUACACAAAAAUUUUAAAAAUAGCUGGGCUUGAUGGUGGCACGUGACUGUAGUCCGAGCUACUUGAGAGGCUGACAUUGGAGGAUCACUUUGAGCCCAGGAGGUUGAGGCUGCAGUGAGCAGUGAUCACUGUACUCCAGCCUGGUGACAGAGCGAGACCCUAUCACCACCCCCACCCCCGCCAAACAAAACAACAACUGAAUAGACAAGUAUCCUAUUGGCAUGAUAGGUCCUGAGUCCCGUCGCAGAUCAGUCACAUGGGACAGGUGUCUUUUCUUCUGGACCUCGGUGUUGCCGUCUGAGUAAGAAAAGGCAGUGGGGAGGUGGAUCUUCCAGUUGAAGCGGUGUAGAAGCCGGUGUGAAAAGCCAUACUACAAGGGGCUCCAAGUCCAGCGCACCGUCCCAACAGGGCCCAGCACGGCAGCCAGUGCGGCACAGGCAUCAGGUCCCGACCUUCUUCCCCGAUUGCCCACUCUCAGACCACGGAGUUCAUCAUCUUGGAGCUGCUGGCCAGUCUGUACUCAUGUGGGGACCAGAACACACUGGUGGAGCAGUUGGCAGAAGAGGCACAGCGGCGCGACGAGAUGCUGCGCAUACACCACAUGCUGAAGGAGGUCGCCCAAGUCCAGCCCCGGGAUGCCCAGCCCCCGCCACGUCCCCAGCCCAGCCUGGGUUGCGGGCCGGCUUCUGGGCUUCCUCCUGCUGGGUCCGCCCUUGGGGAAGUGCCACCCCAUAUCCUCCAGACCAGAGGCUUCCCCUGAUCCCUUCGGCCCUACUCGCCAGGUGCUCUCAUGCCCCACUCGGGAUCACCAAGUAAGUAGGGGCUGAAAGCAGCCAAAGAGGCCGCUGGACGGGUGUGGCCGGGAAGGAAAUGGGACUGGAUUCCAGAGCAUCCGACCUGGCCGCAAGAACUGGCCGUCUCCAUCCAAGAAACUGGGACCAUGGCUGCCAGAGUCACGUGUGGCCGAGGGCUGGCGGAGCCUGUCCCCCAGGGAGGGCUGAGUCCUGGAGGUAGUCGUUUUUGAGGAGAGGGCUAUGGGGCUCGUCCCACCUGCCCCCUUCUUUCCAGCACUUAGGUGGCACUUCCCUCUAUUUUCACUCUUGGUGGCCGCCCACACGUUGCAUCCCUCAUCCUUUCUUCUCGCCGUCCUCCAUUCUCCAUUCUGUCCAACUCCUCUCUGCGAAACCUAGCUCAGGUCUGAGAGUCUGAGAUGCUCUGGGUGUGUGGAUUUCUUUUUGCUACCCUGAUGUCCCCACAUCCAAGUCCUGACUCCUUUGAGCCAUCCCUGGGGGUAUCGGGCCACUUGACCAUGGGAGCAGAGGCCAGGCUGUGACUCUGUGACCAACAAGAUGUGUGAUGUGUGUACAGGUGAGCACACGAGUGUGAGAGUGUAAGAGUGGCACCCAGGCCUAAGCUAGGACAGAAGCAACUGGGGAAGGAGCCCGGGGGCCACAGGCAGUCUGAUUUUUUCUCCACAUCCCCACCCCCUGACCCUGUCUAAACUAAUGUGGUAGUGGCAGCUGCAGGGGCAGGGAUGAGAGUGACUGAAGCCUAUUUCACUCCCAAAGAUUUCUAAGGAAGAGCAUUCUACUGCAACCUUUGGCUUGGCCUUGUUGACCUAUGACCCUCUUUCAACGACAUUCACUCUGAUUUCCAAUGUGCCCUGUUUCCACUGGCCACGUUCUCUAAGGAAGAACAAUAGCAUCUGUUUUUGUGUCCAAAUGGCUGGAGAGUGGGGCUGUGGGUCCAACGCCCAUAUACA
rnacentral:lncRNA from 1 species